rnacentral:rRNA from 1 species
UACAUAGGUGGCAAACGUUAUCCGGAAUUAUUGGGCGUAAAGGAUGCGUAGGUGGUCUGAUAAGUUAUUAGUGGGAAAUCGAGGCUCAACCUCGUGGAAGUUAGUAAUACUGUCAGACUUGAGGAUAGGAGAGGUUAACGGAACUCCCGGUGGAGCGGUAAAAUGUGUAGAUAUCGGGAAGAACACCAAAGGCGAAGGCAGUUAACUAUUCUAACUUCUGACAUUGAGGCAUGGAAA